AAAGUGGGCUUUCAACCUGAGGAUGAUUCUUCAAUGAGUAUUUCUCCUUCAUUUGCAACCAUGGUGUCUUUGAAUGAAUUAUUCUGUUUCUCCAGAAAAUUGUCUCAAGUCAUCAACUCAUAUUAACUGUCAGGACUUCCUUGCCUUCUCCUUGCAAAUGUUAUGUGAAAUCUGAGGAAGAGUACUUUGAAAAAUAUUAAAUUGGGUUAUUCUCCCUUAUAAAUGAGAACCUUCAUGCUGUGUUCUAGAUCUGUCUGGAACAUGCCUCUGAAUCCUAAGACAGGUCAGUCCCACAAGUAGCACUCUAUAUUUCCUACCUGGCACUUAUCAUAUUUUGUACUUGUUUGUUUGUGUGAUUGGUUGAUUAAUGUAAGAUUAUAAACUUCAGGAGUGAAAAAAAAAAGUUUGUUUUGCUUAUUUUCUAUAAGCUUAUUUCCUAGCACUGCGUCUAGAAUAGAGUGGUAAGUCAGUAAAUAUUGUUUGAAUUAAAGGAUGUCCAUUUCUCAGACAGUCUUAAACUUAGAGGAAAGGCAGGGAGUGUCUUCAUGAUGCCUUAAAUAAACACAGUUGUAUCAUUAGUAGAAUGCAAAAAUCGCACAAGUAAAAGGGAAAGAGGAAGAAAAGAAGAAAAGGGAGGUAGUUUUGCAACUUGGAGCAAGGCAUCCGUUAGGCUGCCACCUUCCCAUAGAGACUGGGAGAUAGGGGCCCUCUCUUCCUAAGACUACAUUUCAAAGACAUGGCUCAUAGCUCCUUGAGAAAGACUAUCUUGUGUUGUAAAACUGGGAAGAGGCUUUAAAAAGAUUUACAUUUCAAAGUGAAAGGGAAAAAAUUUACAAUGACAGGUUUUCUAAAGUAAAGGCUCUAAAAAAAGGAGGUUGGGGCCUAGUGCCAGAAAGAAGCCUGCCUAAAACUUAGUUAAGGGGAGAGGAAUAUUAAGUCUGUCUUUGUCACCUGCAAAGAGCAAUCUCUUCACACUGGAUGAGCUAUUCUAGGCUUAAAAAGUAUUUCCCUGCUUUAAGUCCCUACCCCACAGGAUCUCUGCUCAUGGUUAAAGAAAAGAAGUUGGGGCUGGGCGCAGUGGCUCACGCCUGUAAUCCCAGCAAUUUGGGAGGCUGAGGUGGGCGGAUCACGAGGUCAGGAGAUCAAGAUCAUCCUGGCUAACACGGUGAAACCCUAUCUCUACUAAAAAUACAAAAAAAAUUAGCCAGGUGUGGUGGCGGGUACCUGUAGUCCCAGCUACUCAGGAGGCUGAAGUAGAAGAAUGGUGUGAACCCGGGAGGCGGAGCUUACAGUGAGCCGAGAUUGCGCCACUGCACUCCAGCCUGGGGCACAGAGCGAGACUCCGUCUCAAAAAAAAAAAAAAAAAAAAAAAAAAAAAAAGAAAAAAAAGAAAAGAGAAGAAAAAAAAAGA